AGGGAUUUUAUUAUAAUUUAAGUAUUAUUAAUUGCAGAUUAAUAGGUUUUAGUCCUUA
rnacentral:tRNA from 1 species